AGUGAACGCUGGCGGUAGGCCUAACACAUGCAAGUCGAACGGCAGCACAGUAAGAGCUUGCUCUUACGGGUGGCGAGUGGCGGACGGGUGAGGAAUACAUCGGAAUCUACUUUUUCGGGGGGGAUUACGUAGGGAAACUUACGCUAAUACCGCAUACGACCUACGGGUGAAAGCAGGGGAUCUUCGGACCUUGCGCGAUUGAAUGAGCCGAUGUCGGAUUAGCUAGUUGGCGGGGUAAAGGCCCACCAAGGCGACGAUCCGUAGCUGGUCUGAGAGGAUGAUCAGCCACACUGGAACUGAGACACGGUCCAGACUCCUACGGGAGGCAGCAGUGGGGAAUAUUGGACAAUGGGCGCAAGCCUGAUCCAGCCAUACCGCGUGAGUGAAGAAGGCCUUCGGGUUGUAAAGCCCUUUUGUUAGGAAAGAAAAGCAGCAGGUUAAUACCCCGCUGUUCUGACGGUACCCAAAGAAUAAGCCCCGGCUAACUUCGUG
rnacentral:rRNA from 1 species